rnacentral:rRNA from 1 species
UGACGGAGAGUUUGAUCCUGGCUCAGGAUUAACGCUGGCGGCGUGCCUGACACAUGCAAGUCGAACGAGGCCGCAAGGCCUAGUGGCGGACGGGUGAGU